rnacentral:tRNA from 1 species
UGUUGGAGUAGUCUAACCAGAUGUUUGAUUUCGACUCAAAAGAACUUAACUAAUAAGCCCCAACAA